AGACGAUCGGACGCUGUUUAUCAGCGGAGCUGCAAGUAGUCUAAACAAACGGUAAUAAGAGUAUAUUAAAGAACAUUAUUGAUAAUACACGGAUAUUUUACACGUCAGCAGAGGAAUUACAAUAGUUCAAGAUGAGUAAUCGAGAGGCUCACGGUCCGGAGCACCAACACCAUCCUCCUCGGCCGGACAAUCGAGACAGCCUGAGGACCAAAGAGUGUAAUUUCUCCAGAAUUGAGCCUCUAUGGUGUGAUGUUUGGUCAGCUGUCUCUUGUACUAUGAAGAACUGCAAUGGAAGAAGAGACAGUGCUUGAUUCGGCAGGUGAACUGCACCUAUUUUAUGGUGGAGCAACUUUUUCAAGAGGAAAUUGUUGACAGUGUCACAGAGGAUGAUGGUGUGGUCGUGGUGCCAGAGAUCUAUUGUCCUUUGUCAGACCAAAAGCCUUUGAUAUCACCAUUGAAUGUCUAGGAGUUAUACCAACAGACACUUGAUGUCAUCCAAAGACUGUGCUCCAUUUAAAUUGUAAAAGUCAUUUUCAGGUUUACAAGAUACAAAAGCUGGUUCACAGAUGUACCUUUCCUUUAAAACUAUUUCCCACCUGUAAUCACAAUGGAGACACAUCUCUGACUGCUGGGCUUCCCCUCUUAUUGUGUUCGGAUUCAUAUGCAUCUGCAGGGUUAUUCAUGGCAACACUUUAUAGCGUUGUGCUGGUAAUUUAUCUUUAUAUAUCAUGCCUUCUCACUACAUCUGUCAGCCUGUGCUUUACAUAUCUGAGAGUCAACGCAGAUAAACAUGAAGGACAAAUGCAAUGCAAGACGUUAUGCAUGUUAUAUAUCGGCAUAUGGAUGAUUAGAUUAGAAACUGCUUUCUGUUGGUGUGUUUAAACAUCACAUGACAUAGAAAAUUAACUGUCCUCCAUUUUUCUCCUUCGAUUUAAUUUGUACUUUAGACGUCAAUGGGAACUAUGGGACGUCUAAUGGGAAUGUGAACUAUCCCUUUAAGACUCUGUAAACCAUUCAGAUGCAUGUAAAAUCAUUAACAACUGUUAAACAGCAUCUAUAAAUGAUAAAAAAAAAACAUUACUAUUGGGAGAAACGUUUUGUCUAGACAUUUGAGUUCAUUUCAACUGACACUCUGUAAAAGUAAGCAUCAUCUUGCACUGCUGUUUCCAUUCUUUCUUUAAAUUCAUUUGCUUGGCCUUCGAUGCAUGCAUGUGUGAUCAAAGUUAUUAUCAGUUAUUUUGAAGGCGUUUUUCUCUGACAGAAGCAGGUGCCUGUCAACCCCUGCAUCACUCGUGGGACAGAAAGUGCUGCCUCGUCCUGAGUUUCGCCGUCUAGGGCAGUAAAAUAAACAAUAAGCAUUUAAUGACAUCACUACAUAUAGCACAAUAGUCAUUCAACACUAAUACUUUAAACUGUAUAACUUGUUUGUAACUAAUUGUUGCUUUAGAAAACCGCAAAUUUACAGACAAGGUUAACAUAAGAACCCUGAAAUUUUGAAGCUGGUCACCCUGUGCACGGCUAACAGCAAAAACCUCCUCAGCAGCACAUCAAUAAAACUUGCAGUGGGAUUAUUCUAUUUAUUUUGAUAGUUAUUAAAAACUUAACUUACCUCAGGU